GCCAGCCUUCAGUGGAGACUCAAAGCUCUCAUCAGAGGUGCAAAUGAAAGCAGGGGGAUAUAAUUGAACUUACUUCCUGAGCUGAUGCAAAGAUUAAAUUAAUUAGAACAGUGCCUCCUCGUACAGGACUCAUUAAGUAGUCCUGGCCUGGACCACAUGAGCCUCCAACCUUCACCACACUGCUGAAGGCCAAUGGAAAGUGGAGAGACACUCUGAGAGGAAGGACAGCAAGAAGAGACAAGAUAUGAGGACUUACGCCAGCCAUAUCUGGCCCUGCCUUCAAGGAGGCUCAGCUGGUCAAGAACCAGCCCAGAUAGGAAGCUUUCAGGAACUUCAAGGACCCAGACUGGACUCCAGGACAGUCUUUGGUGCCCACUGGGCACAGUGCUGCGUAUAUGGGAUGAGGAUGCUAUCUCUGCAACCCAAAUGAGGUCCAGAAGAGCAAUCUAGAGGAGGACCAGAAGGCCCCAACCUCACUGAGGCCAUCUACAGAGCCAGAGGCUUGACUUCAUAGACUUCCAGCUUUGCUGACUGUGGGCAGCUAUUUGUCUGUUGCAGCGCGGCGGUGUUAGGAAGUAUUUGGAAAGUAUGACUUUCAGAAUGGUUCCAGUACAGCAGGCAAGGGCUCAAAACCAUUGCAAUGUGGAAACGGCUGCUGGAUGCAUUGUCCUGACCACAUGGCAUGCGCACAAAUCCUGUGGAAAGAGUAUCUCCUAGGGGACUACAGACACAAAGGGGCUCCCCACACAGACUGUCAGGCUGGAGCAGGAAGCCCAGCAGCCACCUGGCUUUGGCAGAAGAAACUUAGGAGAGAGUGAGCAUCCCUUCAAAACUAUGCUAAGCCCCACCCAAGCAGAGGCUCUUUCUGGGGCCCGGUGAGUCCUUCAUCCAAGCAACAAGGGCAAGGGUAGCUGUUAGAUAGAACUGAAAAGUGGAGAAGUCACUGGGAGGAAGAAAAUGGGCUGAUGAGAGAGAGAGAGAGAGAGAGAGAGAGAGAGAGAGAGAGAGAGAGAGAGAGAGAGAGAGCUGCAUUUGUAACUGAAACAAGAGAGGGAACUGCAUUAUUUAUGAAAUGGCCAAGCACGGAGUUAACAAGAAAGGAGGAGGCCUUUAGAAGGAAAGUGGUUUCAAAACAUCCGUAUUUUGCUGAAAAAGACGCACACACAAACUAUGAUGGAGAGAGUGCUGAGGUUUAGAACCGGAGAUGACUCUUGAGCAGUUACAGAUCAAGGGAGGGAAGAAGAGGGUCUGCAAGAGGUGGCAAAGGGAUAGAACA